rnacentral:misc_RNA from 1 species
GAUGAAGAACGUAGUGAAAUGCGAUAAGUAAUGUGAAUUGCAGAAUUCAGUGAAUCAUCGAAUCUUUGAACGCACAUUGCGCCCCUUGGUAUUCCGAGGGGCAUGCCUGUUCGAGCGUCAUUUCACCACUCAAGCCUGGCUUGGUGUUGGGCGACGUCCCCUUUGGGGACGCGCCUCGAAACGCUCGGCGGCGUGGCACCGGCUUUAAGCGUAGCAGAAUCUUUCGCUUUGGAAGUCGGGGCCCCGUCUGCCGGAAGACCUACUCGCAAGGUUGACCUCGGAUCAGGCAGGGAUACCCGCUGAACUUAAGCAUAUCAAUAAGCGGAGGA